rnacentral:RNase_P_RNA from 1 species
CAGGUCAGCCAGGUGGUUGCGCCCCCUUCGGGGGGUGAGGAAAGUCCGCACUCCAUCGAGCACGGUGCCGGAUAACGUCCGGGGCGGAGAGAUCUGCCGGAUCGGGCCACAGAAACAUACCGCUCCUCCGGGAGUAAGGGUGAAAUGGUGGUGUAAGAGACCACCGGCGGGGGCAGCAAUGCCUCCGGCCGGGCAACCCCCACCGGGAGCAAGGCCAAACAGGGAUGAACUCCUUCGGGAGGGGAGGCUGCUCGUCUCCCUUGAAUUCCAGGUAGGCUGCAGCGAGGUAUGCUGAGAAGCAUGCCCCAGACAGAUAAUCACCUCAGUGGAGAGUUAGGGAGGAAGCCCCUCGGGGCGUAAACCGGGAUCCUCCACCAGACAGAAUGCGGCUUAUCGGCUGGCCUGGGUA